GAUGAACGCUGGCGGCGUGCUUAACACAUGCAAGUCGAACGGAAAGGCCCAAGCUUGCUUGGGUACUCGAGUGGCGAACGGGUGAGUAACACGUGGGUGAUCUGCCCUGCACUUCGGGAUAAGCCUGGGAAACUGGGUCUAAUACCGGAUAGGACGAUGGUUUGGAUGCCAUUGUGGAGAGUUUUUUCGGUGUGGGAUGAGCUCGCGGCCUAUCAGCUUGUUGGUGGGGUAAUGGCCUACCAAGGCGUCGACGGGUAGCCGGCCUGAGAGGGUGGACGGCCAAAUUGGGACUGAGAUAAGGCCCAGACUCCUACGGGAGGCAGCAGGGGGGAAUAUUGCACAAUGGGCGCAAGCCUGAUGCAGCGACGCCGCGUGGGGGAUGACGGCCUUCGGGUUGGAAACUCCUUUCGCUAGGGACGAAGCGUUUUUGUGACGGUACCUGGAGAAGAAGCACCGGCUAACUACGUG
rnacentral:rRNA from 1 species